rnacentral:other from 1 species
GUUGUUCUGAGAUAUGCGCAUGGUUUCUAUUUUGAACCUACGUAAUGCAUGAGGGAGUCCAAUAAGACUGUUGGAUAUCAAGCCCAUAGUAAGCCCAGAAAUGGCAAGGGAAGAUAGAAGGAAUCUUGCGGACACCCACCUAUCGGGAGAUAGGUGUCAAAAUUGAAACGACGGUAUCUCAGAUCUGCC